rnacentral:tRNA from 1 species
GAUUCCGUAGCUCAGUUGGUAGAGCAACGCCCUUUUAAGGCGUGGGUCCUGGGUUCGAGCCCCAGCGGGAUCACAA